CACUCAUACUCUUACUUUUUUUGAUUAAAACACAAGUUAAGUACCAGCUCUGUAUUUACCGAGAGGAUGCUGGGUGAGGAGUGAUGCCGUGUAUCAGUGGUCAGACAUUGCCUUCCCAUUGCCUGGGGUUUGCUUGUGCUUUGGUUGCCAGGGUUACUUGAAUGUUUUGGAAUUUAAGCCCAUGAAAUUGUCAUUAGAUGUGUGCUUCAGCUGGGGAGUGAUCUGUAAGCAUUCAACUUAGACCAAAGAGAGGUCAAGUCUUCCUCAACUGCUCUUUAAGUGUUUGCAUCUGGCUGUAAUGUCUGGGUUAGACUAAUACGUUUCUGAUGACGCUGUCCUGAAAAUGAUCUCUGAGAGGAUGUCAUUUGCCUUCCAGAGAUAAUGGAGACAUCAAGUUUCUGACUAAAGGAGAUAAUAAUGAAGUUGAUGAUCGAGGCUUGUACAAAGAAGGCCAGAACUGGCUGGAGAAGAAGGACGUGGUAGGAAGAGCUCGAGGGUUCUUACCAUAUGUUGGCAUGGUCACCAUUAUAAUGAACGACUAUCCUAAGUUCAAGUACGCUCUUUUGGCUGUGAUGGGCGCAUACGUGUUACUGAAACGUGAAUCCUAACAUGAGAAGCAGUUCCUGGGACCAGACUGAAACGAAUUCUGUCGAAAAAGAGAAAAGCUAAUAUAUUUGAAAUGUUCCACUUUCUGUAUAAAGAGAAACCAGGUGGAGAUGUUUUUGUCUUGUCUAAAUAAAUGAUUCACCAGUAAACAUGGCGUCCUUUUGCGGCCUCGAUUGGAGUCUGCUCAGGCUCUGCUGCUCAGGCCGUGGCUCCCACAGAACAUGGGGUCAGCAGUGCUUCAGACACUGGGCCAGGGUCCGGGCCCGGCCUGAAGGAGGGAGCAUGGCACAGAACACAUGAUCACAGCAAGUAGCUUCAAAAGUACAGUCCCAGCUUACUAUGAUGCCUCUGAGGAAGACAGGUUCUUCAAAGAGGAGGACUUUUUAUUCAUUCAAGUAAAAUCUGAUAAACAAA
rnacentral:lncRNA from 1 species